UAGGGAAUCUUCGGCAAUGGGGGGAACCCUGACCGAGCAACGCCGCGUGAGUGAAGAGGGUUUUCGGAUCGUAAAGCUCUGUUGUUAAGGAAGAACGAGUGUGAGAAUGGAAAGUUCAUACUGUGACGGUACUUAACCAGAAAGGGACGGCUAACUACGUGCCAGCAGCCGCGGUAAUACGUAGGUCCCGAGCGUUGUCCGGAUUUAUUGGGCGUAAAGCGAGCGCAGGCGGUUAGAUAAGUCUGAAGUUAAAGGCAGUGGCUCAACCAUUGUAGGCUUUGGAAACUGUUUAACUUGAGUGCAGAAGGGGAGAGUGGAAUUCCAUGUGUAGCGGUGAAAUGCGUAGAUAUAUGGAGGAACACCGGUGGCGAAAGCGGCUCUCUGGUCUGUAACUGACGCUGAGGCUCGAAAGCGUGGGGAGCGAACAGG
rnacentral:rRNA from 1 species